AGGGAAUCUUCGGCAAUGGACGAAAGUCUGACCGAGCAACGCCGCGUGAGGGAUGAAGGUUUUCGGAUCGUAAACCUCUGUCAGAAGGGAAGAAACUACGUUGUGCUAAUCAGCAGCGUACUGACGGUACCUUCAAAGGAAGCACCGGCUAACUCCGUGCCAGCAGCCGCGGUAAUACGGAGGGUGCAAGCGUUAAUCGGAAUUACUGGGCGUAAAGCGCACGUAGGCUGUAGUGUAAGUCAGGGGUGAAAUCCCACGGCUCAACCGUGGAACUGCCUUUGAUACUGCACAACUUGAAUCCGGGAGAGGGUGGCGGAAUUCCAGGUGUAGGAGUGAAAUCCGUAGAUAUCUGGAGGAACAUCAGUGGCGAAGGCGGCCACCUGGACCGGUAUUGACGCUGAGGUGCGAAAGCGUGGGGAGCAAAC
rnacentral:rRNA from 1 species